rnacentral:rRNA from 1 species
AUAACAGUUGGAAACGACUGCUAAUACCGCAUAAGCGCACGGUAUCGCAUGAUACAGUGUGAAAAACUCCGGUGGUAUAAGAUGGACCCGCGUCUGAUUAGCUAGUUGGUGAGGUAACGGCCCACCAAGGCGACGACCAGUAGCCGGCCUGAGAGGGUGAACGGCCACAUUGGGACUGAGACACGGCCCAAACUCCUACGGGAGGCAGCAGUGGGGAAUAUUGCACAAUGGGGGAAACCCUGAUGCAGCGACGCCGCGUGAGUGAUGAAGUAUUUCGGUAUGUAAAACUCUAUCAGCAGGGAAGAUAAUGACGGUACCUGACUAAGAAGCACCGGCUAAAUACGUGCCAGCAGCCGCGGUAAUACGUAUGGUGCAAGCGUUAUCCGGAUUUACUGGGUGUAAAGGGUGCGUAGGUGGUAUGGCAAGUCAGAAGUGAAAGGCUGGGGCUCAACCCCGGGACUGCUUUUGAAACUGUCAAACUAGAGUACAGGAGAGGAAAGCGGAAUUCCUAGUGUAGCGGUGAAAUGCGUAGAUAUUAGGAGGAACACCAGUGGCGAAGGCGGCUUUCUGGACUGAAACUGACACUGAGGCACGAAAGCGUGGGGAGCAAACAGGAUUAGAUACCCUGGUAGUCCACGCCGUAAAC